UGAGUUUUGGGAUUGAAAUAUGUUAUGUUUUGCAUCAUAAAUGUUUAUUCACCUGAAUCCUCUGAAUAGGAAGAGACUACGGAUCAGAAAAGAGGAGAUUUUGGUACUUGACUAGAAGAGAGAAAAAAUCCUGCUUUAAGUGUAUUUCACUCUAUUCUGACUGGAUUAUAUUUUUGUAAAAAGAAAAAUAACAAAAGACAAUGACAAACAAAAGCAAAGCACGGAGAGGUGGAUAUCAGCACUAACUCGUACGCCAUACUGGAGUCUGAAAGGAGUGGCAACCAGCUGCAUUUAGUGCUACAGAGCGUGACACACAGGGAAUACGUGCGGAUCCAGUUCAUCCUCAUACCUAAGGGAUGGAGUUUUUUUUGCAUCCUUUUGAGCUGCGAUCCCCACUGCUCUCAGCAGCACUAUCAAAUGAAGGAUAUUCCUACAGCAUUUGGGGAAAAAAGGUGGUCAUUUUGAAUGUUUGAUUUAAAAAAAAAAAAAAAAAAACCUUUAUGCCUUUUUUAGAAGAUUACUGUGCAGAGAAACUCUCAUGUGACGUGUCUAUCAAUAAUAUUUCUUCACAAACUUCCCUGCUGUGGGUUGAUGAGUCUAGAUGUGAUGAAUGUUUGGAGAGGAGAUGAACUGAAGCAAAACUCUCCUCGGUUCUUCACACUUCACUUGAACUAAAUCUCAAGGACAUGAUUGCAUGUCAAUGCAAUGAAAAAUUGAAAGUAUUACAGCAAUUGUUGACAUUAUAAAGUUCAUGGAUGCUUGUGAAACAGCUGAACUGCAAUGAAGAAGUUCUUCCAGGAUGGACGUAACCUAGAUCUCCCUGCUGGGACCAUCACACCCACCAGAAGGCAUCAUAUGAUGUCGUCGAACUGGAUUUAGCAAGAGACCACAACUCUUUCUCUACUGUUUCUCUCUUACGCCUGACAGCAUAGAACGGGACCCACAGACAGACUAGGUGUGUUCAUGCAUGUGAAGAGACUUUGUAUGUGUCUGUACAAAGACACCCGUACAUUCUCCCAUCUCGCUUGUGGGUGAGGUGGAGACUGGAUGUCCUGUAAAUAAUGUAAAUGACUUUGGUCCCCAUUUGUUGAGUUCUGUCCAUCUUAGGCCAUCAUCUUGGGUGUUUCACAUGCCUUAACUGUACAAAACAGAACUGCCCUGGCCAACAUCAAUGUAACACUCAUGAAAAAAUCAGCAGAGACUAUAUGUACACCACUCAUCUCAAGGAAUCCGAGUCUGAGGAUAUUUCCCCUUAUGUUGACUUCACUCAGCAUACUAGGUGUUUUCUAUGUAUUGUUGGUAUGUUAAUGUUCAAGUGAAUAACUGCAAUUAUUGACAUGUACAGAUAGGUUGAUGGUUGAUGAACUUUGGUAUAUGCUGAAAUUUGAAAAAGAAAUUGUAAUAGUACAAAAAAAAAGAAAAAAGGUAGUUUGACUUCCUCUACCAGUUCAGCAUUGGUUUUUUGUUUUUAGUUUUAAAUGAUUAGGUGGGUACCUACAGAACAUGGGGCUUAGUUUUGCUUUGCGAAGAUCAAAAUGUUAAACUGAAAAUAAAAUAAAAAAUUAAAAGCUGAA